GAUGAAGAACGCAGCGAAAUGCGAUAAGUAAUGUGAAUUGCAGAAUUCAGUGAACCAUCGAAUCUUUGAACGCACAUUGCGCCCGGCAGUAAUCUGCCGGGCAUGCCUGUCCGAGCGUCAUUUCUGCCCUCGAGCGAGUCCAGCAUCUAGGUGCUGGGCCCGCCCGGCGUUGGGGCACUACGGGAGGCCCUGUGCUGUCCCCCGUAGGCCCCGAAAUGAAGUGGCGGUCCUGCCGCGGCGCCCCCUGCGUAGUAUAACAGCUCGCUUCGGGACCCGGUGGAGGCCUGCCGUCAAACCUUACUCUCUAAGUUUGACCUCGGAUCAGGUAGGGUUACCCGCUGAACUUAAGCAUAUCAAUAAGCGGAGGA
rnacentral:misc_RNA from 1 species